GCAAGCUUGACAUUAAGAAUGCCUGCCGUGAAAAUCAGGAUGUCUACUUGCUGCUGGCUGUGAGGAGCCUUCAUGUUGCUCAGCAGCAGCCAGGGCAAGAUCUACAAGCACCAUCAGGGUGUCCUGGAAGUCUGGAGCCAGAACCUCACCCCUGAAUGGACGUACACUUCAUAACCUCCAAUGACCUUGGAUAGUAGAAGUAAAACUCAUCAUGUUGCUCCCAUCACAUUGAACAUUCGCAGUGCAGACUUUGAGGGACAUCCUACCAAUAUCCAAGUAGAGUGAACAAUGAACCUGCUGGGAGGAUUUGCUUCCAGAUGCCAUAUCCACAGCUCCUUGGAUUGAUGGAACAUGUUCUGAAGAGGGCCUCUGUGAACCCAGCACAGAGAGAGUAGGCCCGGCGUGGGCCUCACGCAUUCAUAAAACUGAAGCCAAUCGGGGCAGCAGCAUGGCAGUGGCUAGAGCCCAAAUGGCGACAGCAAUGGUCAGCAACGAUGUAGCGGUUGGGGCUGAAGCCUCACGAGCGGCUGGGAAGCCUGGUGUGCCUAGGCAAGCUUCAGCACCAUGCAGGGGAGAGUGAGUUUUCUUGGAGCAUCUGCAGGUCCAUGCCUCAAGAAAGAACUGUAGUGUUUGACAUUUUAAGUUUUAUUACUUUACUUAUUUACUUUUAUGCUAAGAAGACUGUAGCGCUGAACGUUUUAACUUAUUUCAUUUUUCCAUUUCUGUAACUAAAGUUUUGUACCUAAGAUGGCAGCGUGCAUGGUGAUUUUGAACACUUUUCACUGUACACCUGUA